UACGUAGGUGGCAAGCGUUGUCCGGAAUUAUUGGGCGUAAAGCGCGCGCAGGCGGUUCUUUAAGUCUGAUGUGAAAGCCCACGGCUCAACCGUGGAGGGUCAUUGGAAACUGGGGGACUUGAGUGCAGAAGAGGAGAGCGGAAUUCCACGUGUAGCGGUGAAAUGCGUAGAGAUGUGGAGGAACACCAGUGGCGAAGGCGGCUUUCUGGUCUGUAACUGACGCUGAGGCGCGAAAGCGUGGGGAGCAAACAGG
rnacentral:rRNA from 1 species